rnacentral:rRNA from 1 species
UACGUAGGGUGCAAGCGUUGUCCGGAAUUAUUGGGCGUAAAGAGCUCGUAGGCGGUUUGUCGCGUCUGCUGUGAAAAACCCGAGGCUCAACCUCGGGCCUGCAGUGGGUACGGGCAGACUAGAGUGCGGUAGGGGGAGAUUGGAAUUCCUGGUGUAGCGGUGGAAUGCGCAGAUAUCAGGAGGAACACCGAUGGCGAAGGCAGAUCUCUGGGCCGUAACUGACGCUGAGGAGCGAAAAGCAUGGGGAGCGAACAGG